rnacentral:rRNA from 1 species
GAUGAACGCUGGCGGCGUGCCUAAUACAUGCAAGUCGAGCGAACGGACCAGAAGCUUGCUUUUCUGAUGUUAGCGGCUGACGGGUGUUUAACACGUGUAUAACCUACCUUUUUUACUUGUAUAACUUCGGGAAACCUUAGCUAAUACCGGAUAAUAUUUUGCACCGCAUUGUUCAAUAGUUAAAUACGUUCUUUCUGUCUCUUAUAGAUUGAUCCGCGCUGCAUUAGCUAGUUGGUAAGUUAACGGGUUACCAAGGCAACGAUGCAUAGCCGACCUGAGAGGGUGAUCGGAGAAACGGGAAGAGAGACACGGUAAAGACAAAUACGGGAGGCAGCAGUAGGGAAUAGGCCGCAAUGGGCGAAAGUAUGACGGAGCAAAGGCGAGGGAGUGAAGAAGAAGUAGGGAGCGUAAAAAGGUGAAAUAAGGGAAGAAAAUAAGUGGAAGUAAAGGUGGACAGAGUGACGGUACCAAAAAAGAAAGCCACGGCUAACUACGUG